rnacentral:lncRNA from 1 species
AGGUGACAGAGCAACACGGUUUCCCAUCAGCUUCCUGGUCACAAGGCAGGAUGAGCGCUGUCAGGAGUUGCUGAUGAGGUUUGGAGAGGCAGCAGGCAGAAGGGCCAAUGCAGCAAGGAAACAGGCAGAGGACCUGGGGGACGGCUGUGCGGGGUGUCCCCCAGCCCUUCCGGCUCCUGGCUGUGAGACGGGCCACUGUCCCAGCAUCUGACACUGGCCUCAUCAUGGAAAUCGGGAGACUGAGGAAGAUGGCCUUGGACAGCGCCAGGUCCUCAGUUAGCAGACAGGCAUCUCCGACAGUGACCAUGAAGGGUCACCCUGAGGCUGGGCGGCGUCUGCAGGGAGGGUGUUGGUCCCUCACUGAGCUGAGGAAGGGAAACCAACUUCUGCUGCUCACUCAUCUGGGGAUGGAGCUUCCUUUCUCUGAGGGAAGGUGUCCUGCGAUGGCAGAGGUAGGGGUCGGAGUGAUGGGUCACACUGCGGAAUGCCUGGGUCACCGGGAGCUGGAAGAGGCCAGGAAACCUCCUCCCACGUGGGCUUCAGAGGGAGCACGGGCAUGCUGACCCCCUGAUUCUGGGCACACAGCUUCCAGAACUGGGAGAGAGUAAAUUCCUGUGGUCAACCACCCAGCCUGCGAUCCUGUGCUGUGACAGCCACAGGAAGCCAACCCUGCCCUUGCGUGGCCGCUUUUCCUCCCCGGCCUUUCCCACUUCCCUACCAGCAUUUUCUUGUCUGCCCCCAACCAAUGCCUUAUCUGUCUACCCUUCAGGCCACCAAACCCAGCUGUCCCAGGGAUAGGAUCUGCAGAGAUUUUCGUGGCUUUUCUUGUCAUUGUUGGCAAAAGUCCUGAGAAGAAAGAGUUCAGUUGUGGGCUUGCAGAUCCUCCCAGAGAAUGGCAUCUCAGACAUUAGCCACCUGAGGCCUGUUGUCACUUCUGGCAUUCUGGAACAUUCUCAGAUGGCUGAUAGCUCAGGGGAUGUGGAUCUCAGUGCAGUUUGUUAGAGAAAGUGACCCAGAGCCUUGGCUUCCGUCUGAGGCUGUCACAAGCCACCGCACACCAGGCUUCACCAUGGUGGUGCAAGCUCCCAGGAGUGGCUUCUGCCUCCAUCACCAGGGCUAGGUGAGAGGGUGCCUGCAACCCAGCAAGGUGCUGCUCUGGAAGCCCCUGAGGCUGUCGGACUAUGUGAAUAACCAUGAUGCUUGCAGACAUAAAGACGAAGAGAGCUUUCGAUGCCAUAUUCGCUGAGCAGGAGGGACACAGAUCUUGCCGCACUGCAUGGGUGAUGGAGUUAGCCUUCCUUCCUGUUGUGGGCAUUUGGCAAACAUACUCCAGCAGCCAUGGCCACCAGAAGCCUCCUGCUCAUCCUGGGGACAAACUGUAGGCCAAACACAGGGCCUGGCCCAUAGAGGUUGCUGUGUCAAUGCAGGUGCAUGGACUAAUUAUAAAAUGGAUGAGCAGAUAGAUUUGGGACACAAAAUGAAAACAAAUACUGAAUCAGUAAAUAUCAAUGCUGAAAUUCUAACUCUUAGGUGGUAACUAGGUUUUCUCGUCACUCCAAUAUGCCGGUUAUUUGAAUGACUCGUGUGCAUUCUUUCUCAGUUCUUUGUGUGAUUUGGCACAGCCAAUGGUCCAUGCCCUCUGAUAGGUGACCUUCUGCCAAUCCUUUUGAGCUGGAAUUUGGGAAAUCUUCACACACACUGACUUCUUCAAGGAGUUUGACUAUCCUCAAACAUUCUUUCCCAGGGAUCAUCAAGAACUAAGUCCUCUUUGAUUUCCACGCGUGAUCCCAAAAGAAUACACAGAAUCCAUGAAAGGACUGAAGACAUUUGGGAGGAUGGUAUCAAUGGGUUUCUAAUAUGGUCCUCAGGUCCCUACCCAUGGACCAAAAGUGGUUUACACAGAGGUCUUCAUCCACGGAGACAGCUCAAGGGAAUUGAUAUUUGUUCAGGAGCAGGAAGUCGACCAACGAGACCAUUGUCUUCUUUUGCCUGUGGACAGAGACCUGUGGCCCCAGGGCAGCCUCACAGCUCUCUGCAGAAAGCCCAGGGCAUCUUCACAGACAAGACCUCCUUGUCAGCCUUGAAGUCCCACAGAGCAGAAACGGUUACUUUUCUUGACUGGAAUUCAGUACAGACUGAGGCAGUUGUGAACAUGUCACAGUCUACACUCGGGGCUCCUUACAAUGGGCCAUGUUGCCUUUAUCCAGAGACAAUCCUCUUGGAGCAGAAGAUCCUCUUAAGGAACCCACGUCCUUUGCUCACUAUACCUGGAGGUUGGGAUGUGAGAGCUGAGAAGAUGUCAGUCUGUACAGGUUAUCUGCCGCUAUCCAGCAAAUCUCCCCAAAAUGUAGCAUCUGCAAAUAUCGAACACUUACCGGGAAUGAGUUCUUUGGGUGGUUCUGGCUCAGGGUGUCUCAUGAGGUCUCAAGGAUGAAUUCUCUCGCUGUGGUUCCCGGGCCGCAGGUCCUCACUUCUGUUGAUUGGAGAGAGCAGUCCUUUGCUCUGUGAGAGUCCUUAGGGCUCUCCUAAUAUGGUAGCUCCCUUCUCCUGGAGUAGUAAGGUUUGGGGUGGGGUUGAGAGAAACAGAGAGAAAGAGAAGGGAUGGGUGGAGUCCCCCAGCCCCCAGGACGCAAGCCGCAGUCCUUUUUUACUCUUAUUUUUGAAGUGAUGCCCAUCACUUCUGCCAUGUUCCUAUUCAUCAGCCCACAUGAGGCAGCCUGUGCAGCCCAGCAGAGGGGAACGUGAGGGCAGGAAUAACUCGGGGUGCUGUCACAAGCGUGUACUGAUGUGCCCCAGGAUAGAGGCUCCGUUCUGAGAGCGAGAGCUGAGAAGGAGCAGGAGGUGCAGAUAGGAGAGGGCUGGAGGCCCCACAGAGCGCCCCUGGCUUGCUGUGAGGAGAUACUGUCCUGCGUGCAGCGAGGGCAGUGGCAGCUGCUGGCUCUGUGGGAUUGGGGGAGGCUUCAGCACCAACCUUCGGAGAGAGCAGCCCUAACUUGCUGACUCCCACUGAGGUGCCAAGAAACCACGAGGAGCCAUUGCUGGAAUGAGGGGACCUAGUUGCUGCUCUCCACCG